AAAAAACGUGAGCUGUACAUUGGGAGAGCAGAGCAGAAGGCGGGAUGGAGAGGAGCUCUGGAAGCUGAACGAGGCUUUAAGAAUCCACGUUUCUGUUGACUGGAUUUACUCACUACAUCUUAUGUUUUGCCUUGUUAGCUGUGUGUAGUUGAGGACUGCAGAGGCACAGAUGUUGUUUUGUUGUCUGGGUGAGAAAAAACGGAGAUUCUGUGUGAGCGGGUUCAAGCUAACCGCUAAAGCUAACGGCUAAGCUAACGGCUAGGCUACGGCCGGCGAGCCUCGUCACGGGCUGAGUGGACUUUGAACUGGACAGACUGAGGUGCUUCUGGAUGAAGAGCUACCUGGAUGAGGAGUUACCUGGACGAGGAGUUACCUGCCGCUCCUCUGACCAUUUGUUUUCCUGAGACAUUGGAUUAUUCGUCGGCUGGCUGCUGACUUUUCAGACACUGAGCUGUGGACGUGGAUUCUGCUAACGGCUAACUGUGAGUUUGCUGACCGGAGAUCAACGCCGCUGCGGGGAUUUCGUGGGCUGCUUCCUGUGAUCAUCGUGGGUUUUCUUCUCUGCACCUGGACGACGGCGAACAACUGGAGAUCGACACACAGGACUGCAACGUCUUGGGGAAGAAGUCGGAGUACCCGGAGAAAACCCACGCACGCACAAGAAAAACAUCAGGAUGCUAACGACGGUGCUAACCACCGAGCCACUGUGCAGCCGCGAUCCGGUUCCUGCAUGCAGAUCGACCACCAACGCUUUGAUCGGAGAUACAGGUGGCCUUGACUCACCAGCCUCAAGCAGAGACAAAGACUGAGCUACAAAGAUCUGGCGAGGCAGCGAGUCGCGGGGGGCCUGGCGGCUCGGCGUUGCUGUUCCAGUGGCAGCACAGAGUGGCUGCUAAAGUGCUCUGCGGAGGGACAUAGCGAGGCGACAUUAAGAGCACACAAAUGGUGUAUUUCAUCCCCCAAAAUGUGUGACAGCGACAUGCGGAGCGCUGAGACAGACAAUAAGGAGACGAUUGGGUGGGACGCUAGCUGUGCAGGAUCUGUACGUGUGACCUGAGCGUGACUCAUGCGCGGCAAUCAACACUCUCCUCUGUGGUUGCCAUGUUUGCGUGGAUGCCAUCUGUGCCUUUACACUUCCAUUUCCAAAAUAAAAGGAACCUCACUUGCUCUCUUUGAAACCUU
ensembl:lncRNA